CCUCGUCCCCAGGAGACCGGCCCCCAGCGCCUUCACCCCCCAGUGCCCUGCAGCGCUUAAUCCAGUGUGGCGCAUCACAGGAGCUCAGGAAAGAUUUGCCCCAAGCUCAUCUGCUGCCAAUCUUCCUCUUUUUUUUUUGCUCCCCAAAGCCCCAGUACAUGGUUGUAUGUGCUGGUUGUAAGUCCUUCUGGGUCUUCUCUGCGAGGCACUGCCACACUGUGGCAGCUGACAGACGGGCGGUGUGGUUCCACGGCUGGGCAGUGAACCUGGGCUCCUGAAGCAGUGAACACUAGACUUGAACCACCAGGCCAUCAGGGCUGGCUCCAAAAGUAUCACCUUUAACCUGUGUUUUCUUUAUUAUUGUCUGUACAGCAUUGUUGGAAUGGUCAUCAGACUGAACAGUCCUGAUUUUCCUUUGGUGUCUUAUUUCCUAAGUCUUUCAAUAUUUCUAAGGCUGCCUCCCAAACCUGGCCCACUUUCCACCUCCUUCUUGGCUGUAAAUCUUGGAUUUGUUACAGAAGUAAGUGGUCUGAGCAGAAUAAUUAAUGCCAAUUACUCUCUUAAUUACCCGAAGCUUUCUAAGUCUCGACAUCUAACAAAGAGAAGCUAUGCCUUGUUCUUCUUCCUCAAAGUAGUCUUGGUUAUUUCUGCCCUUUUGCUCUGCCAUCUAAAAUUUAAGAUCUGCUUGUUGUGUUCGGUGAAAAAGGCUUUGUUGGAGCUGCACUGAAUUUAUAGAUUGCUUAGGGAAGAAUUAACAUCUUAACAAGGUCCAGGCUUCUUGUUCCGGAACAUGGUGUGUGUGAAUGAGGCGGUUCCCUUCACUUCCAACUUCAUCAUGCAGAGAUUGCUGAUUUUAGCGAAUGCUGCUUCUGUAUCCCUUGAGGUGAUCGUCUGUUAUUUCUCCUUUUAGUAUUUUAAUGAGGCUAAUUCCAUUAAUAUAUUUUCUAAUGUUAAACUGUCCUCAUAUUUCUGGGAAAAAUAACUUGUGCAAGAUAAGUUUUUUUCCAGUUACUAAUCUUUUCCCUUUAAC
rnacentral:lncRNA from 1 species